GACGAACGCUGGCGGCGUGCUUAACACAUGCAAGUCGAACGGAAAGGCCCUGCUUUUGUGGGGUGCUCGAGUGGCGAACGGGUGAGUAACACGUGAGUAACCUGCCCUUGACUUUGGGAUAACUUCAGGAAACUGGGGCUAAUACCGGAUAGGAGCUCCUGCUGCAUGGUGGGGGUUGGAAAGUUUCGGCGGUUGGGGAUGGACUCGCGGCUUAUCAGCUUGUUGGUGGGGUAGUGGCUUACCAAGGCUUUGACGGGUAGCCGGCCUGAGAGGGUGACCGGCCACAUUGGGACUGAGAUACGGCCCAGACUCCUACGGGAGGCAGCAGUGGGGAAGAUUGCACAAUGGGCGGAAGCCUGAUGCAGCAACGCCGCGUGCGGGAUGACGGCCUUCGGGUUGUAAACCGCGUUCGCCUGUGACGAAGCGUGAGUGACGGUAAUGGGUAAAGAAGCACCGGCCAACUACGUGC
rnacentral:rRNA from 1 species